rnacentral:rRNA from 1 species
UGAAUACGAGAUGCUACGGCGUCGAAGCAGUCUAUGUCAUACUUCCAAGAAAAGCUUGCACUGUCAUAAACAAAUAAUGCCUGUACCAUAACCGACACAGGUGGGUAGGUAGAGUAUACUAAGGGGCGCGAGAUAACUCUCUCUAAGGAACUCGGCAAAAUGACUCCGUAACUUCGGGAGAAGGAGUGCCUCAUUUAUAAGGUUGCAAUAACAAGAUCCAAGCAACUGUUUACCAAAAACACAGGUCUCCGCUAAGUCGUAAGACGAUGUAUGGGGGCUGACGCCUGCCCAGUGCCAGAAGGUUAAAGAAGUUGGUUAGCAUCCGCGAAGCUGAUAACUGAAGCCCUGGUGAACGGCGGCCGUAACAAUAACGGUCCUAAGGUAGCGAAAUUCCUUGUCGGGUAAGUUCCGACCCGCACGAAAGGCGUAAUGAUUUGGAUACUGUCUCGGAGAGGGGCUCGGUGAAAUAGACUUGUCUGUGAAGAUGCGGACUACCUGCACCAGGACAGAAAGACCCUAUGAAGCUUUACUGUAACCUGAAAUUGAAAUUGGACUUUACUUGCGCAGUAUAGGUGGGAGGCGUUGAGAAUAUUCUUGCGGGAUUAUUGGAGCCAUCAGUGAGAUACCACUCUUGUAAUGUUAGAUUUCUAACUUUGUAUCAUUAUCUGGUCAAAGAACAGUUUCAGGCGGGCAGUUUGACUGGGGCGGUCGCCUCCUAAACGGUAACGGAGGCGCACAAAGGUUUCCUCUGAACGGGUAGAAAUCGUAUCUAGAGUGUAAAGGCAUAAGGAAGCUUGACUGUGAGACCUACAAGUCGAGCAGGGACGAAAGUCGGUCUUAGUGAUCUGACGGUGCUGAGUGGAAAGGCCGUCACUCAACGGAUAAAAGUUACUCUAGGAUAACAGGCUGAUCUCCCCCAAGAGUUCACAUCGACGGGGAGGUUUGGCACCUCGAUGUCGGCUCAUCGCAUCCUGGGGCGGUAGUACGUCCCAAGGGUUGGGCUGUUCGCCCAUGAAAGCGGUACGCGAGCUGGGUUCAGAACGUCGUGAGACAGUUCGGUCCAUAUCCGGUGUAGGCGUUAGAAUAUUGAGAGGAGCCUUCUUUAGUACGAGAGGACCGAGAAGGACAUACCUCUGGUGUACCAGUUAUCGUGCCAACGGUAAACGCUGGGUAGCUAUGUGUGGAGUGGAUAACCGCUGAAAGCAUCUAAGUGGGAAGCCCACCUCAAGAUAAGUAUUCUCA